UUCAAAAAUAUUAAUUAAUUUUCUCAAUUUUCAAUUUAAAUGUUUAUUCACUUUGAGAAGACUUUUAAAAAAAAGUCUUAUGUACCUGUCAAUUUGAGCUGCCCAUAUCUGCCCAAAACGAAGUGCACAAUGAAAAUUGUUAAUACGACGCUCUCCGCUCAAGCCCUCAGCGCAUCUGUGGGACCUUCGCAUACGAAUUUUACUCGUUCAUUCGGCAGAGCGAUAAAGCAAUUGAGUUUGUCACGGUCAAGGUAACUGAUUGUACACGACAAAUUAUUUUAUUUACACGUUUAUGAUAGGGUGGCCUAUUCAGUUAAAAACUGUAAAAUAAGAUUUCUAGCUUACGGACCUAAGGCUUAAUUGCCUACACCUAAACAUCUGUAAAUGGCCCAUGCUAUUUUCUACCAACGCUAUGGGCCAUGUGGCGUUGCAAGUUAGAAAAUCUAAACAUUUGCCUUUUCUGAACAUUCUGUCUUCAGUUUUGGAAGAGCAUUCAGAGAUCAUGAGUCAAGAACUAAUAAGUGGUAAUGUACAAUAUUUUUACAUGGUUUCUGAUAUUUCAUCAAGCAAUAUCUUAAAAUUUAAAACAAAACACAGCAAAAGUAAAAAACUUGAAAGUACAGACAUAAGGCAAUAUGUUAUAACAAGUGAUUCGUCAGAUGCGAGCUCCAAGUGCAGUACAGAUACUGGUUCCGAAUCCGAUUCAGAAUUAAUUUGAGGAAACCAAAAUAUAGGCAUGAAAGAAAUUUGGACAUAGAGGAUUAAUAGAACAACAUCGUAAAAAUCAACAUAAAAAAAGAAUUAUCAGAAAAUUCCAUACUGCAGCAAAGUUACGAAUUUUGUCCCGAACGACCAUAUACACGAAACACUGUGCGCCGUCUGGGUUUAAUACAAGUGAAAACGCCCCGCUUGUAGCAACCAAUCUGUAUAUCUGACAACGGACAUCACCCAAUUGAUAUACGCCGAUUUUAAUGAAAUUGUUAUACGUUACAGAACUCGAAAAAAAUAUUUGACACGUAUUUUUUUUUUAUCGGCGAAUAUCCACUUUGAAGUGGUGAAAAUGAAAUAUAUCUUCGCAAAUUUUUCGGGAACUAUUAGACCUAGGUACAAAAUUCAAAAUGUUUCGAAAGGUCAAUAUUACAGCGUAACUGAAUUUUUAAAAAAUUUAUUUGCUUAAAAAAUAUGUUAAAAAU